GAUGAAGAACGCAGCGAAAUGCGAUAAGUAAUGUGAAUUGCAGAAUUCAGUGAAUCAUCGAAUCUUUGACGCACAUUGCGCCCCCUGGUAUUCCGGGGGGCAUGCCUGUCCGAGCGUCAUUACAACCCUCAAGCUCAGCUUGGUGUUGGGCCCCGCCGCCCCGGCGGGCCCUAAAGUCAGUGGCGGUGCCGUCCGGCUCCGAGCGUAGUAAUUCUUCUCGCUCUGGAGGUCCGGUCGUGUGCUCGCCAGCAACCCCCAAUUUUUUUCAGGUUGACCUCGGAUCAGGUAGGGAUACCCGCUGAGUUUGAGCAUAUCAAUAAGCGGAGGA
rnacentral:misc_RNA from 1 species